UUCUCUGCAGCCAGGAUUUUCAUCAGUCAGGCUCCUGGCUAAAGUUCAGCUUUCAGCUGCAUUUAGCCAAAGCCUGACUGUAAGCUGCUCCAGACAAGGAUGGUUGCUUCUGAAACCAGGAGAUAGAGGCAACAGAACCCCAGCAUAAUCAGACACAGACUACAGAACAAUUUUGGCAUUUUCAUGUUUUUAGAUCAGCCACGGCAUCUGCUUUGGAGUUUGACUUCCUUGUCUCAGUUAUAGAGGGCAUGUCUUCUGCAAAGAAGUUACAAGAUCAAUCUUCAGCUUUUGACAGAGACUAGGAAACACAUGAAGGAGGGUGCCAAGACAUGAAUCAGCAUCACCUAAUGGAUCUUUAAAGUUACUGCAGGAUUUCAUGUCCAUGCCUAGAAUGAAGAUGUUAAAAACAAGUUUUAUGACCAUCUACUUUCAAUUUCUCUGCUUCCUUCUGGAAAGCCAGGGAGGAGGGAAUGAGGUAUGAAUCAGCAGCACUGAUGGAGAUCUCCAUGGAUACAUCAGGAUUUUACGUUCAAACCUAGAUAUGAGAUCUCUCUCUCCUGAUUGGAUCUGAUUCCAUUCUCUAUCUUAAUACACAUUCUCAAUCAACCAGAAGCAAGGAGAGCAAAUACAUUUCUCUGCAGGGUAACCCAGUGUGGACAAAUUGAGGAAUGAAUCAGCUGCACUGAUAGUGAUCUCCAAGGAUCUGAUAUCUAUGUCUAGAUAAGUGAUCUCUCUCCUGAUUGGAUCUGACUUCAUUCUCUAUUUGAAUACACCUUCUCAAUCAAUCAGAAGCAAGAAGAGCAAAUAAAUUUAUCUGCAGGAGAAGAUUUGAUCAGUCAGGCUGCUGGUGAUUCUCCAGGACUUAUCUGGUCCUGGAUAUAACCACUGCCAGACUGAAUGGUGCUAAAGAGAAGGGAGAGUGCUUGUGUCACUGUCAGCAGACACAGCCAGUGGAAAGCUGGGAAGGCUGUGCUUGUUUAUU
rnacentral:lncRNA from 1 species